rnacentral:lncRNA from 1 species
UCACAAUGGUCUGCCUGACUUCAUUAAGAGGAGACAGGCCACAGACCGUCUUCCUUCCAGCUGUUUUGCAAGGGGAGAAUGAACUCGCUUUCCACAGGGCUCUUACAGCCUACCGCUAACCUCUCAUAAAAAGGCCUGAAAUGCAGUUUUUUUCCAGGCAUGAUCUCACCGCCUUGGAAGUUCUGCUCUAAGCCAUGUCGUACAUUUCUCUAGAGGUGGAAGACACAAAGCCUUGAGUCAUUGCUGACAAAGGAGAACAGCCACAAACGGUCUUGCUUCCAGCUCUUUGGGAAGCUAAGAAACAACUCGCUCUCCACAGUGCUCUUACAGCCUACCGGGAAUAUCUCUCACAAAGGCCUGUGAAACGCAGUUUCUUUCCAGCCCUGAUCUUGCUGAAGUAGACCUUCUGCUCUGCCGUGUCCUACAUUGUCCUAGACAUGCCAGGCAGAAUAUCCUGCCUUGUUUCCUCAAGGGAAGACAGGCCACAAAGCGUCUUGCAUCCUCUCCUUGGGAAGUUAAGAAACAACUCGCUCUCCACAGUGCUCUUAAAUCCCACCCCGAACAUGGCUUACAAAGACCUGUGAAAGGCAGUUUCUUCGCAGCCCUGAUCUCGCUGAAGUAGAACUUCUGCUGUGCCGUGUAAUACACUGGCCUAGAGGUGUAAGUCACAGAGACCUGAAUGGCUUCCUUAAGAGCAGACAGGCCACACACCAUCUUCCUUCCAGCUCUUUGGCAAGGUGAGAAAGAGCUUGCUUUCCACAGGGCUGUUACAGCCUACUGGGAACCUCUGAUACAAAGACCUGAUAUGCAGUUUGUUUCCAGCCCAGAUGUCACAGCCUUGGAACUUCUGAUCUAAACCAUGUCCUACAUUGCUCUAUAGGUGGAAGUGAGAAAGCACUGAGUCAUUGCCUCAAAAGUAGACAAGCCACAAACGGUCUUGCUUCCAGGUCUCGGCAGCUAAGAAACAAGUGGAUCACCAUAGUGCCGUUACAGCUACCCUGAACAUCUCUCACAAAGAUCUGUGAAACGCAGGUUGUUCCCAUCCCUGAUAUCGCUGAAGUAGAACUUCUCUUCUGCCGUGUCCUACAUUGCCCUAGAGGUGCAAGGCACAAAGUCCUGCCUUGUUUCCUCAAGGGGAGACAGGAAACAACGGGUCUUGCUUCCAGCUCUUUCGGAAGCUAGGAAACUCACUCUCCACAGUGCUCUUACAGCAUACGGGCAACAUAUCUUACAAAGGCCAGUGAAACGGAGUUUCUUCCCUGCCCUGAUCUCGCUGAAGUAGAACUUUUGCUCUGCCGUGUCAUACAUUGCUCUAGAGGUGGAAGUGACAUAGCGCUGAGUCAUUGCCACCACAGGAGACAAGCCACAAACGGUCUUGCUUCCAGCUCUUUGGGAAGCUAAGAAACAACUCGAUCUCCACAGUGCUCU